GGGUUAGCUCAGUUGGUAGAGCACCACACUUCCGUGGGGGUCGUCGGUUCGAAACCGACACAGUCUCUCUUA
rnacentral:tRNA from 1 species